CCCAUUCGGCACUUCUUAUUUGGAUAGUGCACAAUACUUAAAAGUCAAAAUAACACCAAAAAAAAUACACACAAAAAAAAGAAAGAAAUACAAAGUUUUGUUUUAAAUCCUACAAAAACAAAAUACACGCAUAAACAAAAUAUAUAACACGACAAACAAAAAGCGGCGUUUUGCAUUUGCGCCGAUCUGCAUUUCAUUUGCGCCGAUUUUUUCUUUCAUUUGCGCCGAUUUUUGUUUUCAUUUGCGCCGAUUUUAUUACAGGUAAAUUACUGGUGAAUAGAUAUAAGAAGAUGUGAGUGUCAAUGAGAGAACUCUCCAUCCAAGUCAUGUUAUUUUUCAUUUAUCAUUAUAGACCUCUUCCAUUUGCCACCUGUACAAAUGUAAUGAAUUGUCAAUCACAACAUGUAUAUAACUGUUGUCCCCUGCUCACCACAGGGAGGUGGAAGAAGGCCUACAAGAUACAUCUCCAGACUGUUUUCCUUGUUUACCGUAUCCGUAGUUCUUUAGCAUCUGUCUUUCGGACAUUUACCACAUGGUUAUGCUCGAUCUGUGUUUUGACAAUAGAAUCCGUGGUAACUCUGGCUUUACACGAUUUUAUGGUACAUUAGCAAGAUAUGUAGUUAUGUUUGAGAACACUGACCUUCCGAUAUGUAUGGCCCUCGAUGAUUAAAGAAUUUACUUCUCGGUCCGUUUCAAUGUGCAAAAUGACCA
rnacentral:lncRNA from 1 species